CUGUGAGUUUAACACUUCAUGACUGAGAGCUGUCCUUCAUGACAACAGAACCCACAACAACCAUGGCUUUCAUCACCAUCUUCAUCUGGACACUUGUCUUCUACAUACAAGAAUCCAGAGGACAGUACACUCUGACUCAGACACCUGCAGUGAAAGCUGAUGGCAAUGGAGAGACGGUCAACAUUGGCUGUAAACUCAGCAGUGGUAUAUACAGUAAUUACCUGCACUGGUACCUACAGAGACCUGGAGAAGCUCCUAAACUCCUCAUUUAUCAGAUAAACAACAAGUUCACUGGGACUCCAUCUAGAUUCAGUGGUAGUGGAUCUGGGACUGACUUCACUCUGACCAUCAGUGGAGUCCAGGCUGAAGAUGCAGGAGAUUACUACUGUCAGAGUUUACACUAUCCCAACAGUGUUUGGGUGUUCACACAGUGAUACAGAGCCGUACAAAAACCUCCCUCAGUCAGACUGCACAGUGACUGAGGGAGAAGAGACAGUGACAUUGAACACUGAUCAGUGACGAAACUUUGAAUAACGUUAGAAACCUUCAUUCAGAUCACAUGUUCUCCAUCGUCAUCAACAGUAUCAUCAUCACCACCAUCACCAUCAUCAUCAUGUCAUGGUUGACUCAUUAUAUUUGUCACAACCUGAAAGUACAUCUAUAAAUGUUAUUUGAUGCUAUAAAACACACACAAUAUCAGUCCAUAUUCAAGUGAGGUGAUGUUACAUCAGCAUCAGCACCAUAAAAAGAAUCUCCAUAUGAACCUCACAACCAAACAUGUGAUGUGAUCAUCUAGCAUUAUAUGAACUAUCUUGAUGAGCAGGUUACUGACUGUUACAUUAGUGAAUGAGACAUGAUGCUGGGCUCAAAUAUUAAAAAUGUUUAUGCACAUAUCUAA